UCUAAUGAAAUUCACCCAAACUUUAGUCUCUUCAUUUCAAUCCGAUCCGUUUCUAGCCAAACUUUACAUUCUUGUUUCAGAUUUCUUGAUAAUUGAUGAUGAUUUGAGCAAAUUCUUCUUAUUCCCGGACAUUCGCCACAAUUUCUACUCAAACUUUACAUUUCUGAUUUAGGUUUUUGACAAUCGAUGAUUAUGUUCGCUAGUUCUUCCUAUUCCUGCGAGGCCACUAUUUCUAUGCAAAUUUCACAUAUGUUUCAGGUUUCUUGAUGAUUUAUGAUGAUGUGAACUGGUUAUGUUUCAGGUUUUUGAUGAUCGAUGAUGAUAUGAACUGGUUCUUUCUCUUCCUGUGAUAUCCGUCAUUUCACUUUGGGUGGCGUCGUGGGGCUUCUGUUCGUCUGGAAUUGCGACAGGUCGGGUUCUUCUACUUCUUGCAUUUCAAAUUACAGUGAGAGCUAUAAUGGUGUAGACACAUCUAUAUAGAGUUAUGAUGGUGCAAAUAUAUCCACACAGGUCUAUGAAGCUGAAGAUACAUUGGAACAAAACAUUGUAAAUGGUGGCAUAACCAAUACUCCUCAAAAUAAAAAUACAGGUACGUCCACACAAGACUUGUCAAAACGAGAAAAAGGAAGAGAAAGUACAACCUUACAUAGUGUUGGAAGAGGAAACACAUUGUCACUAGGUGUGGGAAGAGGAAGAGGAAAUACAACUUCACUAGGUGUCGGAAGAGGUAGAGGUCGAGAAAAUGGAACGAUUGUAAUUGGUGCGAAGAACUUACAACAUGGUAUUAGACCACCAGGAUUGAUGUGGAGAGGUAACGAAGCACUCUCAACUAGACAAUUACAAGAAAGGGUGAACGAGAAAAAAAGGAAAUUAUAUGGUCAAAGUAGUUCAACUUUUGGAUACGAAUAGUUUUGGUUAAUGGAUUUGACGAUAACUAAUAGGCGAUGAUUACUUUUUGUUAUAUCUUAUGUUGGAUGAAAUAGAUUGCUAUAUUUUGUAAGUAUCUCGAUGGAGUU